rnacentral:rRNA from 1 species
GUGGGGAAUUUUGCGCAAUGGGGGAAACCCUGACGCAGCAACGCCGCGUGAGUGAUGAAGGCCUUCGGGUCGUAAAGCUCUUUUAGUGGGGAAGAAAUUCAACGGUGCGAAUACCACCGUUGAUUGACGGUACUCACAGAAAAAGUUCCGGCUAACUCCGUGCCAGCAGCCGCGGUAAUACGGAGGGAGCAAGCGUUGUUCGGAAUUAUUGGGCGUAAAGCGCGCGCAGGCGGUUGGGUAAGUCAGACGUGGAAGCCCUUGGCUUAACCAAGGAAUUGCGUUUGAAACUGCCCGGCUAGAGUUCGGGAGAGGGUGGCGGAAUUCCCAGUGUAGAGGUGAAAUUCGUAGAUAUUGGGAGGAACACCUGUGGCGAAGGCGGCUACCUGGACCGAUACUGACGCUGAGGCGCGAAAGCGUGGGGAGCAAACGGGAUUAGAAACCCCAGUAGUCC